GAGUUUGAUCAUGGCUCAGAGUGAACGCUGGCGGUAGGCCUAACACAUGCAAGUCGAACGGCAGCACAGGAGAGCUUGCUCUCUGGGUGGCGAGUGGCGGACGGGUGAGGAAUACAUCGGAAUCUACCUUUUCGUGGGGGAUAACGUAGGGAAACUUACGCUAAUACCGCAUACGACCUACGGGUGAAAGUGGGGGACCGCAAGGCCUCACGCGAUUAGAUGAGCCGAUGUCCGAUUAGCUAGUUGGCGGGGUAAUGGCCCACCAAGGCGACGAUCGGUAGCUGGUCUGAGAGGAUGAUCAGCCACACUGGAACUGAGACACGGUCCAGACUCCUACGGGAGGCAGCAGUGGGGAAUAUUGGACAAUGGGCGCAAGCCUGAUCCAGCCAUACCGCGUGAAUGAAGAAGGCCUUCGGUUGUAAGUU
rnacentral:rRNA from 2 species